AUUGAACGCUGGCGGCCGGCCUAACACAUGCAAGUCGAGCGGAGCGGCCGACGGGUGAGUAAUGCCUAGGAAUCUGCCUGCUAGUGGGGGAUAACGUCCGGAAACGGGCGCUAAUUCCGCAUACUAUCCGAUGAGUCUAGUUCGGAUUAGCUAGCUGGUGGGGUAAAGGCUUACAAAGGCGACGAUCCGUAACUGGUCUGAGAGGAUGAUCAGUCAUACUGGAACUGAGACACGGGCCAGACUCCUACGGGAGGCAGCAGUGGGGAAUAUUGGACAAUGGGCGAAAGCCUGAUCCAGCCAUGCCGCGUGUAUGAAGAAGGUCGUCGGAUUGUAAAGCACUUUAAGUUGGGAGGCGUUACCAACAGAAGAAGCACCGGCUAACUCCGUGCCAGCAGCCGCGGUAAUAC
rnacentral:rRNA from 1 species